ensembl:lncRNA
GAAGAAAUCUGCAAAUUGGCAGGAUUAUACCCAUUGAUACUGGAAUCUGUCUCUAUCUGGAGUAGCACAGCAGCAGCUGGGCUACUUAGACCACGUGGCUUAAAUGCCCUUGAGACUUUAACGCAAACAGGUUGGAGAAAUCACAUCUUUCUAACAGCCUCCAGCCACGGGCUUUCCUUUUCUCCUUGGUCUUUCACACACUGAAAUGCCCUGCUCUGACAGCUCCUGCAUGGCUGAGCUGUGGGAUCAGAAUCAGGGGAGAAGAGGAGAGAAAUCUUACCUGUUCUUUCAGCGAGCAAAGAAAUGCCCUCUGUUUUGGAGGAUCUGUUUUCUUUGAUCUCUCUGGGACAGAAUUCAUUGCUAUCACCACACUGCAGUAGCUGAGCUCCCUGUAUGUUGACGCUGAACCAUCCCAGCAUCUCCAUCUAUGUGCCCGUCACAUGCAAGUCCCCGUGUGCAGGAAUGGGAAGGAGAUACUUGGCUGGCACUGCAAAGGAAGGACUACAUUGAGCUGUGGCCGGGACUACAGUCUCCUGUGGACCCUCUGGGUUGCUUCCCUUCCCUACUUAAGCCGCAGAGCUAAAACACUUCUAUGCAUUUCUCUUGUCUUUCCAGGCUUGGGUAUUCUCCCGCGCUUCCAAACCCUUUGGAAAACAUUCUGCCAAGCCUCGGGCUGUUCCUAGGGGCCAGGAUUUCAUUCUUGGCUUGCCUUCAGUCUAAACAACCUUUGUUACUUUCCUUCUUUUCCCCCAAGGAAUGUAUUAAUUUUCUUAACAUUUCUCUCUGCCUAAAAUUAGACUGUCGCUUUCCUUAUCUCUGACCAGCUCAGUGGUGCUAUACUUUUCCAUUUCUUGCCUUUUUUUUUUUUUUUCUCUCUCUCUGUGAUUUAUUUCUGGAAAAUGUGGCAUGCAGUGACUGUUGGCUAACGCUGGAAAAGAAGAUAAGACAAAGUACAAACUGGACGCAGACUCGCUUUCUUUUCAGGGAUGGUCAUUUAUUUGUCCUUCAGCCGAACCUGUGAAUCUCUUCCAAGGCCUUACCUUCAUUUCUUAACCCUGAAUAAAAAUUGGUAUCUUUGAUGUGGGGAGAUGAAAAAACAUGAUGCUAUCUUCUGGGGUGGUCACAUCAAACUGGGGUCUGCACGAGGUGCCCUGCCCUGCACGCUGGUAGCCUGGUGAUGUUCAUUGUCAUUUUUGGCUUCAAAAGGGUAAAGCUGGUUGCACCCGAACCCAAGCUCUGCCUAGCAAUUCCCUUCUGCAGUUUUAGGCUUAAGCUGGCAAUUAAUGCUGUUAUCUUUCCAAUCCGUCAGCACGUUUGUCAUGCAGAGAACACUGCUGACUUGGAGUGGCCCCAGACCUAGCCUGGGGGAGCGGACGGGGGAGAAGGAAAUGGAGUCAGAGUGGGAGAGAGGCCAGUCACCUCCAGCAUUUAUGAAACUUAUGCUCUGUUAUAUACUGCAAUUAUAUUGUUUUCCAAAUCCAGUGGGAACUGUUGUUUUUCAUGCAAUAAAUAUCUUCCUGCAGUGCUGGCAGCUGUAAUAUGGCAGCUCUGACAACUUGAAAGUGAAACUCAUUCCAGUAACAUGAUUCUGAUACUAGUGGCUUUGCAUUAGCUAAGCUGAGAGAAAGAAUCAAAAAAGAUAAGCAAAUCGGAUGUUUGAAUUCCUUUCAUUUUCACUCACAGCAACUCCUUUCCUAGUGAUAAAGCCCAACACUUUGCUAGCAGUGUGUUUGACAGCAUUUUGCUAACAGAGCCUUGAAUGAUGCUGAAGGAAUCUCUCAUGACCAGCAGAUCCAUUGCCAGUGUUUUUUAAAGAUCCUUGCCAUUUUUUUUAUAGUUCAAACAUUACAGGGCACGAUGACAUAGGUAAUCCUUCAUUCCUUGAACACCGAUGAUAUUUUGUGAUGCUAUGAUUUUACUUUCCCAUCUUUCAGCAUUUGUGGGGUCUGGGAUGUGCAGGAUAUUGUACUGAUAUUCCUGUAUAUCAGGAAUCAAAUGAAUAACAAAUACUUAAUAUUGAAAACCAGCAUGCAUAGAAUGAUAGGAUUAACCUGAGAUCGUAAAGCACCAAAGCCUUUCUUGGUUCUUAGCAGAACAGCCUUAAGGUUGGAUGCUUCUUGGCACAAGUGGGAACGAGUAUCCAGAGCAUUUCACUGUGAGAUACUGAACCUAAGCUACAUGCAGUACCGCACUGUUAUAAUUAAACAAGGGUCAUUUCACAUGGAAAGGUUUAUGAACUGAUGUCACUGGUUGCAAGAUAAGUUUUCACAUCCAUAGGGAGGUUUCUCUAUGCAAAAUAUCACUAGUUCAGUCCAACCUCAUACCUUCAGGUAAAUCAAUAGGAUCUGUGUGUACAAACAAGCCCACUAACAUAUGUUAGACCAGAUGAUAAAAACACAAUACAAAUGCAACUGUCUCUCCAGCAUUCCUAGCAUGUAACAUCCCUAGCAUGUAGUUCCCUCGGCAAAACCCUUACAACUAUGCAGAUGAUACAGAUAGAGCUGUGAUGACAAGAUGUACCUUCCUUCUCCUUCAUUAACGCUUACAUCCACUGUUUAACUACAUGGUUAAUGUAUCAAAAACCUCUGGUUCUUCUGGGUUGACCCAGACUUGUCCUUACCUACCAGUAAAAGACAGUGUAGUGGGAUGCACUGCCUUUGAAGGGCAGGAGUGGCGCAGGUGUGCUCUGGUGCACAAUGUGGCAGAGCUAUGGGACCUUACCAGCCCAUGUUGUUCUGGUGGGCUACGAGAUCUUCUCACAGCUCUUGAUCAUCGUCACUGCAGAUCUUAGACUGGACUCUGACAACAAAGGCAAGUGUGAACCCAAGGGAAUAUAAUUUCAUAUUUCCCAGUUGAAAUGGACGUAUUUUGCUCACCAAACUGUUCUUCCCCGGCCUUGCACAUCAACUGAGUGCUGCUGUUACUUGAGUGUGAAAUACAUUCGUAGUUCACGCACUCUAUCUUAGUUGACAAGCUGUGUGUUGACACUGUUGAUACAAAAUUAAACCACUGGGUUUUGAUCCUUUGUGUCCUACAAUUUAGAAGCCACAGUUGAGUUCAAGAGGCACUCAGAUGAGAAUAAAGUUUGCAACAAUACUCUCUCUAAUGCAAGAAUCUUGCAAGUACAUUUAUAAUUAUUCGUUUGUUAGCAGAAAUAUUAACACAGACAUGAUAAAAAAGGUUUAUUUUCCUGCCAGUCCAUGUGUAUACCUUAAUUGCAUAUGAAAGAUACUCUGAGAAUCCUCUCUUUCAUGUAAAUAUACUCAAUGGUUAGUAAAUAUUAAUGCUGCUCUCUGGCUCCAGCUGUGAGAAGAUUUUAUUGUCGUGUUAGAGGUUUUGAUUAGCUUCCAAAAGGUUUCACAGUGUCUACUCUAUUUAUCUGAAACAUACAGAACUGCUGCAGGCAAGGGCUGCAACCAAGAAAAUAGUACACUUUCUCCCAUUGUUUUUAAUUUAGUCUGUGCAAGUAUAAUUAUUUCUGCCUGUUUAAUGCUCUCAUGUCACUCUCUAUGAAAUUCCAAAGGCAGGAAAGAAGCUGCCUAGUAUCUUUUAGUUCCAGUUUUCGGUAGACAGCACUGAAGUAAAAGAACCGUGUCAUGUCUUCCCAUUAUUCUCCCUAAUUGUCACAGCAAUUUACCCAUGAGCUGACGUGAUAGCCAUAGAGGGAAAUGGAGCAAAACCUUUUGCAUAACUCAGCGCUCAAGGAAAUCCUAGACACCGAUGUGAGGGGGCAGCUCGGUGUCUGUCGGCCAGCGAUGCAAGGCUCUCCCUGCUGAGAUCAGCUGACGAGCCGCAUGGGAGAAACCCCUCGCUGCAGUUUGAGAGCAUGCCCUGGCUCUACCAUAUUCAAGGAGGAGCAUUAAAAAUGCAUUGUCAGCCCUAGAAGGAAACCUUAUCAUUGCUGUGCAGCCCGGACACCAUGCGUUACCAAUAGGGCAUAUAGGAGGUGCUUCUAUUGCCAUGGGGCUGUGCUGUACUUGUGGUGCUUGGGAAGGGUGUAUUUGGUGCCUUCGGUGUUGUGUGGCUGGUGUUAGAAGCAGAAAACUCAAGCACAACUGGAUAAAGAAUAGUUCUAAGAAGGGCAGGGGAUCAUUCUGAAGAUUUCACAGGAAAACAAGAAUUAGAAUCAAAAUAAAGAAAACUGAGAGGAAAGAUAACAAAAAAAAAAAAAAAAAAGAAAGUGAACACUGCAACCCUCCCAAAGCCAGAACAGCUUUCUAUCCAUGCAUGAGCAUCCCGGCUGGAGCGCAACCAAGCUGCUUCCAUCAGACCUGCACACCUCCCAGGUGUGUCUGCUGGAGCUUAUACCUAUGCAUAACUUGAACACUUUAUUCUAAAAGGAAAAGCAAUAAAAAUCAAAGCAGGCUUGUAUACAAGUUAAAUCUUCUGUUAAGGAGCGGUAAUGUUAUUUGUUUUCAAUCAAAUGAGGGCAAUAAAAGCCAAGAUGUGUAAUGAAACCCCACCUGGUGUGUAUCGGCCUUGACACAGCCUUUUUAUUCAACAUAGCCUUUGCUUAAUGGAAAUCCCUGGCAAAGAGCCAGAGCCAGGGCUGUAAUGUUUGUAAAUAGCUGUUGCUUUCAGCCUGACUUUCCCCAGAGAAAACCAUGCAGGAAUAAAAAAAGUGAAGAUUCGGUAACAGCGUAAUUGCGUCACAUAACGGCCACCCCCGGGAAGCCAUCUGAAGUUUUAAUGCUCUAAAACGAAUGCUGAAUUCACUCGUUUUCUCUAACAAAGGUGGCUGUUGCGGUGGCUGCACACACACCAGAGGACUGCUGAAGGAGAGCGGAACAAAUGCCAUUUGCAAUUCAAGUGCCUUUAGACCCCAGAUGCUGCUGCCUCACAACCACUCUUCUGCAACCUUGAUGAAGGAUGGUAAUUAUCCCUCCAGUACUGGUGACCAGCACAGGCCCGGCCCUAAUCUCUUGCUGAUGCGGGCGACAGACCUGCUCAAGGACACAGAGGCACAGGUUGGUGCCAGGCCAUUGAAAUGACACCGAGUCAGGCUGGAUUUGACUCAUACUCCUGGUCCUGCAUGCUAGAAUAAAUAUCUGCAGCUCUGGCAUGACAGAGAUGGGGCUUCAGAACCUUCCCAUCUUGUACUGGGGCUUGCUCAAUAUUGGGCUCCCCUCUUGGCAGCCAGGAGAACCCCAGAGCCACCUCAAGCUUUCCGAUCCACUUCUUUUAACCUGGCACUCAACUAUAAACAGCUGCCGGUGGCACACACGGUAUAUUAAGCUUCUGGAGAAAUGAACUAGUUUUCAUCAACAGCCCAGCCAUCCUCUUGCUGUUUCCAGCCACUGCUAUUGCCUUGGAUCUCCAGACGCUGACCUAGCCUCUGCUUGGCAUUCAAGUUGUAACACCUUUGACACUAACAACCCACUCAGGAAGCCACAGGAAUAAGUUAUGUUCUCUGAAUGACGUGUUUCGGCCUUUAUUCUGCUCACGAACAUGGACCAGAGUUUCAAGUUAUCAGCCGUUUCUUACAGAACACUACUCAUUCAGAUGUUCCUCUUGGCAUUAAGCUAUAAACAUGGGGCCUACCAUGAGGGCCUACUCGUAUGUUGAGGGGUGAUAUGCUACUACCUGAGCCAUGCCACCUGCUCAAAGAAAGGGAGAGAGUAACAGCAUCUCCCAGCUAACCUCAGGCAUAGUCUCUUCAGGGGGCAGCAGGCUGAGUGCAAAGUCAAAUUUGCCUUAGAGGAAAAUCUAUCCAAGUGGGGAUUCUGAUGGAGAGAGAAUUUCAUCCAACUAUUCCGUGAUGUGGUGUGUGCCUGCCUUGCUGCACCCAGCAGCAGCUGCUUCACUGCUUCACUGAUCAAAGCUGGCAAGUUAUUUUAGACAUUUUGUAGGAGCUGGUUACCCACAGUAUGCUUCAUGUUCAGUUGGCCUUGGUCAUACCCACAUCUGGGGCAUGGUGCAGAGUUAGGCUGCCUAGUGACCUUGCCAGGUGGGAGAUGGCCCUUGGUGCAAAGACUGGCUGGGGAUACACUGAUGGUGAUGAGGAACUCCUGUUUGGUACUGCUGAUGAAGGCCAUCUCUCCCACAUGCAAAUCCAUGUUGUCACAGAACUGUACACUGAACUUGAGGAACAGUCCCACCAUCAUCGCUGAACAUACCUCUAGGUAAUGGCAGACUGUGGCUGGCAUGAAUCUGCCCUUGUCAUCCAAGGUGCAAACUUCUGCUCUGCUGCUUACCCCUAGCAGCCACAGAGCUGGGCAAGGAGGCAGCAUUCCCCAUCAUGUGCUUACAUUAAAACGCAAUCCUACAUCUUCAAGCUAGGUGUAUGAACAAUAACCUCAAGUCACUGUCUGAUGUCCUGCUGUUGGACUAGGAUUGCUUCAUGUGAAGAGCGUUUUGUCAAAAUAAAUUGCACUGUACUGUGUCC